rnacentral:rRNA from 1 species
AUUGAACGCUGGCGGCAGGCCUAACACAUGCAAGUCGAACGGCAGCACAGAAGAGCUUGCUCUUUGGGUGGCGAGUGGCGGACGGGUGAGUAAUGUCUGGGAAACUGCCCGAUGGAGGGGGAUAACUACUGGAAACGGUAGCUAAUACCGCAUAACGUCGCGAGACCAAAGUGGGGGACCUUCGGGCCUCACACCAUCGGAUGUGCCCAGAUGGGAUUCGCUAGUAGGUGGGGUAAUGGCUCACCUAGGCGACGAUCCCUAGCUGGUCUGAGAGGAUGACCAGCCACACUGGAACUGAGACACGGUCCAGACUCCUACGGGAGGCAGCAGUGGGGAAUAUUGCACAAUGGGCGCAAGCCUGAUGCAGCCAUGCCGCGUGUAUGAAGAAGGCCUUCGGGUUGUAAAGUACUUUCAGCGGGGAGGAAGGCGGUGAGGUUAAUAACCUCGCCGAUUGACGUUACCCGCAGAAGGAGCACCGGCUAACUCCGUGCCAGCCGCCGCGGUAAUAC